GAAAGGUGACUCUUGCUGGCAGCGUGCUAAGCAUUCCGAUAUCUUGGCAUGGUGGCAGCUAUUUGUCUGGGUUUGGUGGAUCAACUGGCAAGACUCAAACCCAGCUUCCCUGACUCCAGUGGUCUCUUUUCACUGCAAUAUAAGUGGUAAGCUAGAUGGCGCAGUGCAUAGCAUGCUGGGUCUGGAGUCAGAAAGAUUUCUCUUCCUGAGUUCAGAUCCAGACUCAGAUAUUUACUAGCUAUGUGACCCUGAGCAAAUCACUUAACCCUGUUGGCCUCAGUUUACUCAUCUGGAAAAUGAACUGUAGGAGAAAAUGGCAAACCACGCCAGUAACUUUGUCCAAAAACAAACAAACAAACGAAGACAAACAGGGUCAAAAAGAAUCCAAA
rnacentral:lncRNA from 1 species